GGAUGAGGAGUCUGGGGGCUCUAGGGGAUAUGCCAACCUUGAGACUGUGAGCAGACUUCCAGACUGUGAUCUAGGGAGAGAGAGAGAGACAGAGAGAGAGAGGUUGAUUUUGAAGAACUGGCGCCUGUAAUAAUAGAGGCUGAGAAAUCCCACAAUCUGCUAUGUGCAAGCUGGAGCCCAGGAAAGCCAAUGGUGUAGUUCAGUCCAAGUCAAAAUGCCUGAGAACCAGGGAAGCCAAUGGUGUGAAUCUCAGUCGAGGGCCAGAGAAGAUGUGAUGAAAUGUCUCUGCUCAAGCAGGCAGGCGGCAAGCAAGUUAAGGGCGAAUUCCUCCUUCCUUUGCCUUUUGUUCUCUUCAGGCCCUCAGGAGAGUAGAUGGUGACCACCCACACUGGGGCAGACACCAACUUUGCCAAUCCACGGAUUCAAAUUCUAAUCUCCUCUGGAAAUACCCUCACAGACAUACCCAGAAAUCAGGUUUAAUCCGAGCACCUGCGUCCAGUCAAGUUGCCACAUAGAAUUCAGCAUCACAGGUGCUGAGCUGGCUCCUGACUGUGCAAGGGCUUCUUCCCUGGUCUGACCUCCAGAGGGCAUACCCUGCUGGGUGUGUCCUUACGCCUGAGUAGUGGCCAAAGGGCAGCUGUUUGUGGAGGUGUGGAUGGAGUUGACUGUGUGAGCUGCAGCAUGCACUAGUGGCCCCAGGAAGUUCCUCAUUCAUGGAGGGCUGGCUGUGGGAAAAGAGGGAGCAUGGGCUGUGAGCCAGGAGUUAGCACUCCCUGUGCCACCGCAUUCCUACCUUGGGUUUCUGGGUUGUUUGGAGGGUAUAUUUAUCAGAUAGGAGAAUAGGAUCUUUUAUUCAGCAGUUUGUUAGCUUUGAUUUAUAACUUCUAAAUAACUAGACACAUGGUUUGGGGACCUUAGUCUGUACUCUUGCUUUGGGCCCCACAAAUGUUAGAGGCAGACCAGAUCAACAUUUCCAGAUUAGUAACAUCUUAGACUUGAUUUCUUCUAAACAAGAAUUGUCCUUCAAGCCAGGCCCCAGGGAGGGAAAAAUGGACAAAAGGUAAAGGAAAUAUGACCUCCAGGCUGGCAGGGCCCAGGGAGGGAAAACCCAGCUUGUGUGGCAAGGCAGCAAAUCUUGGCGUGUCCUUUCUAAGCCCUGUCUGCAUCUCAGGUAAGGAGUGAGAGAAUGGGAAUGGGGCAUAAUUCUGUUUUGCAGAACUGACAGACUUGAGCUAUCUUGGGGGACCCAAAAUCUAGGUUUUUCUAAUUUCAUUCUCUCCAGGAUUCUAGCCUCCCCAGCAUGAGUCAAGUUGUCCUAAUUUUUCCUAGAAUGAGAUAAUAGUCUGAAAAUGUGAACACUUUUCUGGGUAACUUUAACAUAUUUUCAGAAACAAUUGCACAUAAAAAAGACUUCUUCAAUUAUUUUAUAAGGGGAUUAACACGGAAACUUUUUUUUUGUAUUUCACACACAUUGGAAUGUGUAAAAGGCAUUGUUACAUGACAGUCACUACUUGAUACCAUAUUCCACAUACUUUAAUGAAAAUAUUCCUUAAAACACCCAAUUACUUUUCUCCCAUUAGAUCUGCUAUGUACAGUUGUCCAGGUUGUUGACUGUGUAAGAAUACUUAGCCCAAGAAAUGAAUAGGAUCUAAAAUCCAGCCUACUGUCUCCUUGUCAAGCUGAGCGCCCUGACAUGGCCUGCAUUCACCAGGAGGAAGGAUGCUUUUUUCUAAUCACAAAAGUCACAGUCUGCUUGUCAAACCACAUACCUUGCUCAUGAGAGGGGCAUGUUUGCUGAGGUUACCCUCAAACUAACAGAGCUGAGGAUGCUAAAAUGAUGCCAUAUGUUGAGGAAUAGUGAAAGCCUUCUGGGGAGAUGGUCAUCUUGGAAUCUGAUUACUUGCCCUCUCCCUCUCUGCACCCUCUCUCCCUCUCUCACUUCCACUGCAGUGAAGAGAAAGAAUGCCUUUCUGGGAAAAAAAUUACUGGCAAAAAAAACAAACCAAACCAAAACAAACGCCAAGAAACCCCACAACAACACAGCUGCUGUGAUUUCUGUGGGUCCCAAAGAAAAGAGGAGCUAACUGCUGCUUCAGCCUGUGUAAUAGCCAGGUCCUGGGACAGAAUUAGCUACAGUUAGAAAAUAAAGUCAACAAGGUGAGUACAGCUGGAGAUGGAACAUUUACUGCUACCCAUCUACUAGCUUGGAAUCAGGGAAGUAAUUAGUCCAGUGUGGAUCAGCAUUGGUCAUGGACUAGAGGAGGACAUCUACCCUUGCCCAAUCCUGAAGCCCCUUUUGGGCCCUGCUGGAACUCACAGUCCAUUAUUAGCAAAACCCAAUAGUGUCAACCUUGGCUCUGACUCUUCCAGCACCAUCUCACUCUGAUGAAAACAUGGCUGUCCUCUGGGAACACUGCCUUCUGAUUCUGUCGUUAUUCUCCUUGUCCCGUGGUGGCUGUGGUUUGCUCCCUCCAGUUGUGCCAUGGGGCCUGGAGGUGGGGUGCGUUUCUUUUACACUCCUCAUUGCCACUUCUGCAUCAUUACCUCUUUCUCUUUCCUAAAAGUGUCCUGCAUUGAAUCUCAGGUCAUCAGGUUAUGUCACCUGACUUCUCAUUUUGUGACAUCUGUCAUCCUGAAGUCAUUCCCCCUGGUUCCUCAGUGUUCCUGCCUCACCAUUGCAUUCCUCUUCCUGUCUUAACUCUGGGCAAGUUCAACUUACACAUGGAUUGUCCCUCCAUUAUCCUGGUCUCUCAGUUCCCUACUGACCUUUCCUCUCACAAUCUGGUCCUUCCCCUUUCAUCACCGUGAUUGCAGACCCUGUCAUUUCCCACAGCUGUGUGGCCUCCACGGCUGCAAGGCAUGCCGCCCACUCUAGGACCCCUGCUUCCUCUCUUCCUAGCACGCUUCCUCAAUCACCCUGUGUGCUAGAACUGUCAAAGCAAAGUGCCACAAAUUAGGUGGCUUAAAGAAUAGAAAUGAAUUCUCACACAGUUCUGGAGGUUGGAAGUCUGAGAUCAAGGUGUUGAUGGAGUUGGUACCAUGUAGGGGGCUGCCCCAGGCUGCUGUCCUGGCCUCUGAUGAAUUGCUGGCAAUCCUUGGCUUGUAGACUCAUCACUCCAACUUCUGCCUUCGUGUUGACAUGGUGUUCUCCCUGUGUGCCUGUCUGCACCCAAAUUUCCUAUUUUUAUAAGGACACCAGUCACACUGGAUUAGGACACCCCCUCAUCUUAACUAGUCAGGAUAAGUAAGGUAACAUUCUGAGGUACCAGAGGUUAGGACUUCAACACUUAAAUUUUUUUUUGAGGGGGGCAUACAAUUUAACCCCUAACAUGCUCCAUCUCCAGCAGUCCUUCCACUCCCAUCUUAAAUUCAUGAACAUAAACCCUUAAUGCUGCUUGGCAAAGGCAAACAUACUCCCUGAUAUGGUUUGGCCCUGUCCCCACCCAAAUCUCAUCUUGAAUUGUAGCUACCAUAAUCCCCAUGUGUUGUGGGACGGAUCUGGUGGGAGGUAAUUGCAUCUUGAAGACAGGUUUUUCCUGUGCUGUUCUUGUGAUAGUGAACAAGUCUCACAAGAUCUGACGGUUUUAUAUAGGGCACUUCCCCUGCACACGCUCUCUUGCCUGCCGCCAUGUAAGAUGUGCAUUUGUUCCUCCUUUGUCUUCUGCCAUAAUUGUGAGGCCUCCCCAGCCAUGUGGAACUGUGAGUCCAUUAAGCCUCUUUUUCUUUAUAAAUUACCCAGUCUCAGGUAUUUCUUCAUAGCAGUAUGAGAAUGGACUAAUACACUCCCUCCCCUAUGUCAUCAGUUUUUCCCCUCUUGGCCUCAUCAUUACUAUCACCAUAUAAAGAUGCUCUUAUUUCUCUCACAUUAAUUAUAUUAAAAACUUUCUUGACCCCACAUCCACCUGUAACUCUCCCUCCAGCUCUACUAUCUCUGCUGCUCUUCACUGAAUGAUUCUUCUGGGGUUGUCUAUACUUACUGCCUUCAAUUCUUCUCCUCCCAUUCCCUUCAGUCCCUUCCAAUCAAGCUUUUGCCUCCACUACUCCUCUGAAAGUUCUCAUGUCAAGGUUAACACAGUUUGUAGUAUUAGUGAAUUUCUUCUUUCUUUUUUUUAUCAUGGUUAUCCUCGAUGAAAAAUUGAACUUACUCCCAUUUAUUGCAUGCAUUAAGUGAUGAGGUUUGCCCAAAGCUCAGGAAAACAACAAGGAGAAGGUGAAAUAAUGAACAAUAUAUAGAUUGGCAGGAAAAAUACAGAAUGAAAAAAUUGUUUAGAAUAAGGUAAUCCUUUUAUAGCAUUGGCCACUCUAUAGAGAUUCGAUUUUUAGCAUUUACAUUUACACAUUUUAACCAAUUACUUUGCCCACUUGGAGCACGUGGAUGCAUUUACACUGACCACUCUGUGUCCUUCCAGGUUUUCCCUGGAUGGCCUUCUUGAUCUCUGGCAAUUUGGAAUCCCAAGCCCUUUCUGGGAUUAUUACCUAGCCCCCAGGUCAACCCUCUCUAGGGAUCCAGGGUGGAGGAGGGAGGAAGAGGAGGGGGUGGUGGUAAAAGGGGGUAGGAGCAGGAGGAUUUAGUGGAACAAAGGGAUGAGAGAAAAUAGGAAAGAAGAAAAAGCAGCAGACCCAGGCAACAUGUGCUGUGGCCAUAAUAACUGUUUUCUGUACUGUCUGCUGCAACUAAAUUUUAAAAACAUGCUUACCCUUUUUUUUUUUUUAAAUGAACAAACUCCUUCAGAGGGGGUGGAUUGUAUAGUUUCUGGCAUGCUGCAGGGGAGAAAAAGUCCAUCUCGAUAACUUAUAAGCACGCUUUGAAUUCAGAACUUUACAAUUCUUCAGAAACAACUAAUGAAAAAAAGAGUGCUGUUGGGCUGACUGUGAGUCACUUCCCCACCCUAUGAUUCACUAAGUCACAAAUGCUGGACAUGCGGACAGGGGAGAAGGACUUUUGAUUUUGAGGAUUCAUGAGCUGAUUCAGUACUGUCUUUAUGUUUUGAUGCUAUCCAAGUUCAAGCUUUGAGGUGUUUUGGCAUCAUAAAGCAGCAUCAAGGAGCAGUUCUCUGAUCUCAUCUGCAAACUCUUUUGAUACUUUGGGAUAGAAUUUGUAUUAACAGAAGUUUUGAAGUCAUUCAGAAUGCCACAUGACCAACGUGGGGUCACCAAUUGGAACAGGGAAGAGAUGUGCACAAUGGCCCUCUCUCCAGCUUGUGUGAGCCGGCUCCAACACACAUCCUGUGGAGCGAGAGUUUGCUGCACACCAGGUAUGCACACCAGCAGCCUAUGCCAACGUCUGUCAGAGGUGGCAAAUUGUUGACUAAAAUCUCCUGGAACUGCUUCCUGAUUUAGCAGGAAAAAAAAUUAGAAUUUUCUUCACUGGGGGACAGAAGGUCAACAUAGAAUCAUCAGCUCCUUUAUCUGGAUUCCUUAUCUCUGCUCUUUUUGUUCUUUUACCUGCCAAGUUCUCUACACCCUCUCAGGUCUUGUGACUUUGCUGGCACCUGUUCCCUUGCUCUGACAGUUCCUGCUAAGUGUCCCCUUGGCCUGCUGAUCCUCUGCUUGGGGUUAGCUCUGCAUUCUGCUACAAGCAGUGGAGAUAGGUGAAUCCCAACUUCAGAUUACAUACCUGAUUCUAGACACUUCUAGAUCCUCCCCUAGACAACCUCUUUAUGAAGGGUCUUCAGGCCACAGCUGUUUUCAACUCAUAGCUUCUAAUAGCAGGUAUACAUCAAAAUCAUCACUGUGAAUUUUGAAAAUUUUUAAAAAAUUAGAUGCCUUCUCUGAACAGGUCCAGAGUGGGGCUUGGGAGUGUGUCUUUCUAAAAAGCAACAACAACAAAACAAAAACCAAAAACCUACAGGGAAAACAGUUUGGAGAUUUCUCAACGAAUUAAAAAUUGAAUUACCAUUUGACCCAGUGAUCUCAUUACUGAGUAUGCACCCAAAGGAAAAUAAAUUGUUUUUCCAA
rnacentral:lncRNA from 10 species